rnacentral:rRNA from 1 species
UGAUCCUGGCUCAGGACGAACGCUGGCGGCGUGCUUAACACAUGCAAGUCGAACGGAACACCCUUGACAGAGGUUUCGGCCAAUGAAGAGGAAUGUUUAGUGGCGGACUGGUGAGUAACGCGUGAGGAACCUGCCUUUCAGAGGGGGACAACAGUUGGAAACGACUGCUAAUACCGCAUGAAGCAGCGAGGGGACAUCCCCUUGCUGUCAAAGAUUUAUCGCUGAAAGAUGGCCUCGCGUCUGAUUAGCUAGUUGGUGGGGUAACGGCCCACCAAGGCGACGAUCAGUAGCCGGACUGAGAGGUUGACCGGCCACAUUGGGACUGAGAUACGGCCCAGACUCCUACGGGAGGCAGCAGUGGGGAAUAUUGGGCAAUGGACGCAAGUCUGACCCAGCAACGCCGCGUGAAGGAAGAAGGCUUUCGGGUUGUAAACUUCUUUUAACAGGGAAGAGAAGAAGACGGUACCUGUUGAAUAAGCCACGGCUAACUACGUGCCAGCAGCCGCGGUAAUACGUAGGUGGCAAGCGUUGUCCGGAUUUACUGGGUGUAAAGGGCGUGUAGCCGGGAAGGCAAGUCAGAUGUGAAAUCUGGAGGCUCAACCUCCAAACUGCAUUUGAAACUGCUUUUCUUGAGUAUCGGAGAGGUAAUCGGAAUUCCUUGUGUAGCGGUGAAAUGCGUAGAUAUAGGGAAGAACACCAGUGGCGAANGCGGAUUACUGGACGACAACUGACGGUGAGGCGCGAAAGCGUGGGGAGCAAACAGGGAUUAGAUACCCUGGUAGUCCACGCUGUAAACGAUCAAUACUANGGUGUGCGGGGACUGACCCCCUGCGUGCCGCAGUUAACACAAUAAGUAUUGCACCUGGGGAGUACGAUCGCAAGGUUGAAACUCAAAGGAANUGACGGGGGCCCGCACAAGCGGUGGANUAUGUGGNUUUAAUUCGAAGCAACGC